rnacentral:rRNA from 1 species
GUUAAGCGACUAAGCGUACACGGUGGAUGCCCUGGCAGUCAGAGGCGAUGAAGGGCGUGCUAAUCUGCGAUAAGCGCCGGUAAGGUGAUAUGAACCGUUAUAACCGGCGAUACCCGAAUGGGGAAACCCAGUGUGACUCGUCACACUAUCAUUAACUGAAUCCAUAGGUUAAUGAGGCGAACCGGGGGAACUGAAACAUCUAAGUACCCCGAGGAAAAGAAAUCAACCGAGAUUCCCCCAGUAGCGGCGAGCGAACGGGGAGGAGCCCAGAGCCUGAAUCAGCAUGUGUGUUAGUGGAAGCGUCUGGAAAGGCGCGCGAUACAGGGUGACAGCCCCGUACACAAAAGCGCAUGUGCUGUGAGCUCGAUGAGUAGGGCGGGACACGUGGUAUCCUGUCUGAAUAUGGGGGGACCAUCCUCCAAGGCUAAAUACUCCUGACUGACCGAUAGUGAACCAGUACCGUGAGGGAAAGGCGAAAAGAACCCCGGCGAGGGGAGUGAAAAAGAACCUGAAACCGUGUACGUACAAGCAGUGGGAGCACAGGUUUACCUGUGUGACUGCGUACCUU